rnacentral:rRNA from 1 species
GUACCUACGGGCGGCAGCAGUGGGGAAUCUUGCGCAAUGGGCGAAAGCCUGACGCAGCAACGCCGCGUGCGGGAAGAAGGCUCUCGGGUUGUAAACCGCUUUCAGAAGGAACGAAACUGACGGUACUUUCAGAAGAAGGUGCGGCCAACUACGUGCCAGCAGCCGCGGUGACACGUAGGCACCAAGCGUUGUCCGGAUUUAUUGGGCGUAAAGAGCUCGUAGGCGGUUCAGUAAGUCGGGUGUGAAAACUUUGGGCUUAACCCAAAGCGUGCAUCCGAUACUGCUGUGACUUGAGUUCGGUAGGGGAGCAGGGAAUUCCUAGUGUAGCGGUGAAAUGCGCAGAUAUUAGGAGGAACACCGGUGGCGAAGGCGCUGCUCUGGGCCGAUACUGACGCUGAGGAGCGAAAGCGUGGGUAGCAAACAGGAUUAGAUACCCUAGUAGUCGA